GUGCUCACUUCGGCAGCAAAUAUACUAAAAUUGGAAUGAUACAGAGAAGAUGAGCAUGGUUCCUGCACAAGGAUGACAUGCAAAUUUGUGAAGCGUUCUGUAUUUUU
ensembl:snRNA U6 U6 spliceosomal RNA